AUUAACAAUAACAUCCAUUCCACUUGAAUAAUUUUUUUUAUUUAUAUUUUGCCAAGACUUUUAAAAUUUAUUGAAUAUAGGAACAUCUGGUGCAGAUGAUGAAUUAAAUUAAAUUUGAUUUCAAAACACAUUUUAAUACAAUUCCAAAAAUAUGAUAUCUACACGGUAAAUACAAAAUAUUUCGUCUCAACAUUUGAUCCAAUAAUAUGCAGUUAAACCCCAUUUUUCAAUUGCUGUAAAGACAGCUGCUCCUUGACAUUCCCCCGAACCAGAAGAAAUCUCAGGCACAUCGAGUAGUUGUUCUACAUUAUUAUAUGACACAAUUAUUGGUAACCUUUCAACUAGUUGUUUUCCUGAUAAUGAAGGAAGAAGUUUUCCAUCCUAAUGAAUAAUAUAUGGAACUACUUGAGCAAUAUCAAAAUGACUGGAGUAAAGUGAAUAUAGAGAGAACCGUAUUUUCAUCACGUUAGUAUAUAUAAAAUAAAAAUUAUUAUUUAAUAUGAUGUGAGGAGAUAGUUUAUAUAUAAUAUCGUCUAGGGUAAGGCACCUAUCUAGCUGUAUGAUGUCUAAAACGCAAUGUAUUGGUUCUUCAACAACAUUUUGACGAUUCCAAAUGAGCUAUGAACUAUUUCCGUACAAUUUGAACAUUCAUCACACCUGUAUCAUAUACCAACACUAUUUUUCAAUAGAUUUUCAUGAGAAUUUGAAUUUUUACUUGUAAAAAUUAGGUGACGGAGGCAACUCAACAAUGGCGUAAGAAGAUAAAAGACCUUCCGUAAUGACUGAGCUUUUUACGCUCAGAUGUUCAGUGACGAUUAAAACAUAUUUAGAUUAACCAUUAUAUUUAAACUACAUUGACAUACUAGAGUAUUGUUCCGUCGGGGGUAUUCAUAGGAAAUAUUUUUAUCGCCUUCUUCAAAAGGAAAACAAUUGUAUUGUCACCAUGUAAUUAUGUUUAUUUGAAGUAUUACUACGCUGUUACUGAACCGAUUUUGAUGAUCACUAUGCUAGUAACAACCCAAAUUUAAUCUAUAUGAACAUUUCGGCUUUAAAAAUUGAAAAAAAAAUUCUUCAUAUCUGAAAAAAAGUGGCAACAAACAAAAAAAAAAACACAUCAUAGUAAAAUUAAUUCUAUCUCUACUUCACAUCGAAGCUAAAAUAAUUAAAACAAGAAACAC